AUUGAACGCUGGCGGCAGGCUUAACACAUGCAAGUCGAGCGGAGCGGCGGACGGGUGAGUAAGGCCUAGGAAUCUGCCUGGUACUGGGGGAGAACGUUCGGAAAAGGGCGCUAAUACCGCAACCUAUCAGAUGGGCCUAGGUCGGGUUAGCUAGAUGUGGGGGUAAAGGCCUACCAAGGCGACGGUCCGUAACUGGUCGGGGAGGAGGAUCAGUCAAACUGGAACUGAGACACGGUCCAGACUACUACGGGAGGCAGCAGUGGGGAAUAUUGGACAAUGGGCGCAAGCCUGACCCAGCAACGCCGCGUGAAGGAAGACGGUCUUCGGAUUGUAAACUUCUUUAGACAGGGACGCGGUACCUGUAGAAUAAGCCACGGCUAACUACGUGCCAGCAGCCGCGGUAAUAC
rnacentral:rRNA from 1 species